CUAGUACUCCUUUCGUUCUGAAUUACUUGUCGCAAGUAUGGAUAUAUCUAGAUGUAUUUUAGUUUUACAUACAUCCAUUUGUACGACGAGUAAUUUGGAACGGAAGGAGUAGAUG
rnacentral:pre_miRNA from 1 species